AUAUUAUUUUGUGAACUCAGCUACAUUUACACUCAACCCGAGAUUUAAUAACAUUUAUAAUGAUAUUGAGCUGAGCACUAUUGUUUACUGAUUCCUAAGGGGAUUAUGAUUAUUUUCUGUACUGAUUGAGGUCAAGGGCCGUCUGUGAGGAUAUGAGAGUGAUGUGAGGAGGCUUUCAGGCCUUGAGUGUGAUGUACGAAGGCUUUCAGGCCUUAUGUUGAUAUGAAGGCUUUUAGGCCUAUUGAUAUUGCGCUUGGGCUGUAGGAGCCCCUCCGGAGUCUGUACACACCCCCAGUGAGCGCAGGAUACCCAGGUGAGUUGGGAGUGGGCCCGAGGGGCCGUGUUUGUGUGUGGUGAGUUGGGAGUGGGCCCGAGAGGCCGUUAUGUGUGUGUUGAGUUGGGAGUGAGCCUGUGGGGCUGAUACUAUACUGAUAUGUUGAAAUUGAGCCCGAGGGGCAAGCUUUUGAUUAUUCCUUAUUGUUGAAAGUAAUUGUCUUUACUGUUUUAUUGUAUAACUGAUUUCACUGCUUGAGAUAGCGCUAUAUUGUGCCUUUAUGAGAUUUCAUGCUUUCAGUUGUCAUUUAUUUUUAUUACUUACUAGGUCGGAGUAAUCACAUUACUCCCUGCACCAUGUGUGCAGAUACAGGCAGAGCUAAGUUCGCUCUUGGGCGCUGAAUCUUUCCAAAGAGGCAGUGAUUAGGAGUAACAAGGUAGCUGUUGACGUUUGCAACCCCAUUUUCUCCCUUAUCUUUUGUUAUUUAUGAUAUUUCCAGACUUGUAAAAUAUUGCGUANNNNNNNNNNNNNNNNNNNNNNNNNNNNNNNNNNNNNNNNNNNNNNNNNNNNNNNNNNNNNNNNNNNNNNNNNNNNNNNNNNNNNNNNNNNNNNNNNNNNNNNNNNNNNNNNNNNNNNGAUGAUAUUAGACUUAUUCUUGCUAAGUAACUGUUAAAAGAAGUGUAGUUAUCCCUGUUGGCUGGCCUUGUUUUCAUGAGAGGCGCCAUCACGACCGGGUUGGGAAUUUGGUCGUAACAUAUAGUUCAAGCGAAACUGUUGACAACUGUCAGGCAGAGUCUCGAGGACCAUCUCAACUUGACACUCCUUAUCAAUCACAGCUCCAAGGACCUCCAGUUCAUUCAGAAGACUCAUCAUCUUGAGAACAUGGUCCCUGACCGAUGAUCCUUCAGCCAUUUUGGUGUUCAAAAGGGCUUUCAUGGCUGUCUGCUUGGCUGCACGAUUUUUCUCACUGAACAUCUCUUUCAGACUUUCGAGCAUAUCAUAAGUAGACCACAUAGACUGAUGCUGAUGUUGCAAAACAUUUGCCAUAGAGGCAAGAAUGUAACAUCGCUCCAUCUCAUCAGCCUUAACCCAUUUGUCAUAGGCCUUAACAUGAUCAUCAGUAGCAUUUUCAGGUUUUUCUGGGCACUUUACAAAUUUGUAACCUUCAGCAGUUAGGACUACAUCAAGAUUCCUUUUCCAGUCAACAUAAUUCGGUCCUUCUAACUUGUUUUGUUUCAAAAUUGAGGUAACUGGGUUGAAUGAAGACAUGGUUAAUCUGAGAGAUAUUCAAUUCCUUCUAACUUGUUUUGGUUCAAAAUUGAGGUAAGUGGGUUGAAUGAAGACAUGGUUAAUAUGAGAGAUAUUCACAUUAAAUAGAUCAUUAGAUAUGUAUUUGGAAUGAUUAAAUUCAAAAUAGCACACUACACAUAUAACCAUGCUCAUUGAGCAGUUAGAUUCGUUCGAAAAACUAAACCAUUUAUGCAAAAUAUAUGAGUGAUGUAAGAUAUUAACCCCAUAAAUUUAAAUAGGACCAACUCAGAUGGAGAGUAAACUGUUAAUUUAAGAUAGGUAAAUAUCACUUUUAUGAACUCUAGUUUCAUUCAGUCAACAUGUAACUCAGUUGGAGAGUUAAUACAAGUAAUGAAAUAACUAGAGGCAAAACUACAGUAAUUAUCUAUAAUGAAUUUAUCUGAUGUGGAAGAAGACCUAUGUCAACAUAUAAAUUCAUUAUAUAACUGUAAAACAUGAUUGGAAACAAUGGGGAUCCAAUGUGGAAGAAGAGCUAUGUCAACAUAUAAAUUCAAUAUAUAACUGUAAAACAUGAUUGGAAACAAUGGGAAUUGAACCCUACCAUCACAUAUUUCUAUUAAUAAAUACUUUUUUUUUUAAAAAUCCAGAAAAUAGAAAAAAGGCCAAAACUCCCUAUAAACGACCCCGAAUGCCCCAAAAAUGACGUACAUCAUUAGAAAAGCUAAUGUGUUCUUUAAGUUAGGCCGUUUCCGAUGAACCUACCAAAUUUGAGGUAAAUCGGAGUUCGACAGAAUUUCAGAAUUCUACGCGUGACUAGAAUUCUGUUUUGGCGUUUUAAGGGUUUUUAAUUAUUUUGACUUGUUCAAAUCACAUAAUAUACUGAUGAAUCGUUAACAUAUGAUUUCAGAACUCAAAAUAAUUUUUUUUAUUUAAUAAAAACGUUUUUAGCCAGAAUAGUAAAAACAAUAUAUUUUCACUUGUAAAAAACGGUAUUGUUCAUAAUUAUGUAUAUUAAUUCAAAAUUACAGAACUAAUAUCAUACUUCAGUCAAGUUUUUAUUAAUGUAACACUGUGAUUAUGGACAUAACGUAACUAAAACAGAUUAACCCAUAAUCACAACAUUAAUAGCAUUUAAAGAAAAACAGUCACGUUUUCAUCAAAAAAUUUUGCUGUUCAUCAGCAAAAAAAACGUAAUUUUGAACAGACUAUUAUUUAAAUAUGACAACACCGUUUAUACAUAUGUAUAUUAAUACAAAAUUUCAGAAUUACAGAAUUAAGAUACAAUCACGUUUUUAACAUAGAAUAAUCAUCUCAAACAUGUAACAAUAAAUAACACGUUUUAAUAUUACUCUAUGCAUGCUGUAUUACAUUAUCUAGUUAGAUGUAAGACGGCGUCUACUACCAAUUGUUAGAACAUGCGCAGCGGAAGCAAGCAUACAAUUCAGGCAUCAAAUACAUGUAAACUAGACAACGUAAUAAAACGAGUUUAGAAGUACUAACCUCUUGAAGUAGUUGCACAAACCUUCCAAGCAGCAAUAAUCCAGGGCUGCAGUCUUCUGCUAUUUGCCUAGUAAAACCUUCGGACGUUCUGCUAUUGGGUGGGCAAGAACAAUACAACUAAAAGGUAAAUAAUUAGGUAAAACUAGUCUUCCGUUAAUAGAGUUGUUUUUGGCCAAAACUAGUCCUCACAAACGUGUAGGAUUCUUCUUCUGCAAGUAGAAUCCUACUCCAACUCUAUUAGAUGACUUUUCUCCCAGGUCACAUUUUACCCAAGUUUGUCCAGGUUUUACUAGGUAUAGCAGGGACCACAGAAAUAAUAAGAGGUUACUAAUUAUAGUAUUAAUUCGAAAUUAGCAUGAAUUAAUUCUUACUAUAAUUAUUGCAAUUUAUUCCACUAAAACACUACAAUUGAAAUCCUCAAUAUGAAUUUCGAAAAUUCACUAACACUUACUUUAACUCCCCAUGUUAAGAUUUCAAAUACAAGUUAAUCAAAUUAAAUCACUGAAAAUUUAAUUCAAUUAACUAAAUAAAUCCUUUAUAAUUCCGCUUAACCUAUUUCAUGUAACGGAUACAAAAUCCAUCGGCCGGGUUUUCACAUGAAAACUUAUAAGCUUACAUAAAGGGGUAUCAUCAAACCCAAAACCGAGUCAUGAAUUUUAUCAACUAAUUAUUAUUCACAAAUGUUAUUCGUUAUUGUCCAAUCUUUUAGGCAUAUACUAACUCUAAAUAGAGUCGUACCUUUUGAUAAAUCAAAACAAUAAACAAAUUAUACUGAUCAUAAUAAUUAUAUCAAGAUUAGUAUAAGCUCACUUAAUGAAUUAAAGAAAAUAUAUUAUAUAUUCAGUACAAAAAUAUCUUUUCUCUACUUGGUCCGUUCAAUAUACACUGAGUAUACUAUCACAAGAAGUUGGAGUAAAACCACUUCCAUAAUCAAAACAAAUUAUACAAUAAUCUUGUGCUACAUUUACACUCAACCCGAGAUUUAAUCAUAUUUAUAAUGAUAUUGAGCUGAGCACUAUUGUUUACUGAUUCCCAAGGGGAUUAUGAUUAUUUUCUGGACUCAUUGAGGCCAAGGGCCGUCUGUGAGGAUAUGAGAGUGAUGUGAGGAGGCUUUCAGGCCUCGAGUGUUAUGUGAGGAGGCUUUCAGGUCUUGAGUGUGAUGUACGAAGGCUUUCAGGCCUUAUGUUGAUAUGAAGGCUUUUAGGCCUAUUGAUAUUGCGCUUGGGCUGUAGGAGCCCCUCCGGAGUCUGUACACACCCCCAGUGAGCGCAGGAUACCCAGGUGAGUUGGGAGUGGGCCCGAGGGGCCGUGUUUGUGUGUGGUGAGUUGGGAGUGGGCCCGAGAGGCCGUUAUGUGUGUGUUGAGUUGGGAGUGAGCCUGUGGGGCUGAUACUAUACUGAUAUGUUGAAAUUGAGCCCGAGGGGCAAGCUUUUGAUUAUUCCUUAUUGUUGAAAGU
rnacentral:lncRNA from 1 species